GAAGUGGGGUCACUUUAAGCUCCAUCUAAAUGAUGCGUUAGUGAAUGCGAGGGCUUCACGGGACGCCAAUGUUCGGAUAGACUCCGGGGAGGGGGGAGUGGGAGGCCUCCAUCAGCUCACUUUUCUUGCCCACCUCAUGUUUACUUUCCCUACUUCUUCUCCUGAAGGCAUCCCCCUUCGCACGGGCAGAUGUCCCCCUCAUUUGAGCCUGACGGGAAAGGAAGUGGGAACAUCUGGGGAGAAGAACAGAAUCCACGGAAGAAAAAAAACAAAAAAAACCUGGAGGAGGAAGUCAGGAGGAGGAGAGCGACUGGUGCAGAGUUGAAACAGGCAGGAGCUCUGCCCAUCUGCUGCCCGCCUACAGGCCCGGACAGGCUGCGCAAAGGUCAACUUUGUGUGAACUUGAUGUGCCACCAGGACCGGAUGACGGUGCUUAACCCGGGGGGUCAGGUGAAGUCCAAUCUCUCCUAAAUAUGCCAUACACAGAGGUGUCUGCAAAACCUUUUUUUUGAGGGGGGGUGUGUUUGCAAUUGACUUUUUCAGACUCAAAAUUUGUGGCGGUGCUUAUUAAUGCCAGACUUCACGUUUUCAGUGGAUUGAAAUGCAUUUGUACUCGAGUCUAAAACGACCCAUGACACGCGGGCAGCCACAGGUAAAUCCUUAUUUGUCAUCUUCACGUGAAUUGCGAAAGGUGAGAUUAACUCCAAAAACCACCACGUCACACUGGCGAAUUGAGACGUCGACUGUUGAAGGAAACACCCUCUGAAAUUCUGCAAUGAUGUAUUGAUUUUCCUCCCGUCUUUCGCCCCGAUGCCUCCGGGGUAAUUGCCUCCUCGCUGCUGCUGAGCUGAACCAUCGGGGUGUCUCGGCGUCUCAGGCCCGUUGUGUCGGCCUCUGGUGCGUCACGUGUCUCUGCCGUCAGACGCCGCAGGGCCUCGCUCGACUCGGACGUUUGUUUAUUGCUGUGUACGAGAACACGAGGUCUCAUCCCGACACUGCGCUUUAACUCUGUCAGGAUGCUCGACUGCCCUCUGAAAAUGGAAGACGAACACUCGGUAUGAAAUGUCUUUUUUUUUUUUUAGGACAAUGAACCUUGUGGGCUUUAGAGCGAGAUGGAGAUAAAGUGUUGAUGGCAGUCUCCACGUCCCCAAGAUCUAGAAUAAAUGUUUUCCUCUUUCUUGGUCCAGAAGAGAACUCUAUCCAUCACAUUUCAGCAGGUCUUGCUGAAGUUCAUCUGGGUAAAAUGCAAAUAGAGUUUUUAGGUUUCUCUUGUUUUUGUUUUUUUAAGGUCAAGCUAUUGACGGGACUCUGAGUUGCCGCUUUAACGUUGGUAACUGUAUUCCAAAGUGACACAUGUCUCGGCAGAAUCUGCGAGCGUAUCAAAGAUCACACGCACGAACGACGGGAAGAAAUCGAUUGAAAUUCCUUCGAUGUGUCAUUGUCUCAGUCACUAGGAAGAUCGAAUGGAGAGCGAGCGCGCUGUGUGUAAAUUGCUCCUCGAAUCCGGCGGCUGAAACCAAUAUUGUUUUCUUUGCUUUGCUAAUUAUUAAUUACCCAUCUCCAUGCAUAUGUGUUUAUUCCUAAUUGUAUUUGAUGGAUGAGUGGCAGCUUUGACACCUCAUUAGACCAGAUUAAUUGAACGACACGAUAUUUAUGUCUCGGCAAUGACCAGUUAUCCCACCAUCUAUCAGCGAGAUGAUCUCACUGAUUGAAAACCACUGGUCCGUGUAAUCCUAAUUAUUUGGAAUUAGAAAAGAAUUUAUAGCUUCUUGUGGCGUUUUUCUGUGAUGACGGCAAAUUGGAAACAUUAAAUGCAUAACGAGGGAGAAAAUGAGAGGAAGACACAAUCAUGGAAUUAAUGGGGGUGAAUGUCGGAGAAGGGGGAAGGGCGCAUAAAACAAACGAGGUGCACGCCUCGUAGACCUGCACAGACACACACACACACACACACUUAUGUUCUCUCCAGAUUCUUUUUCAUAGUUUUGCAUGGAAAUGCCCACAGGAUGCCUAUUUAGAAGAGAGGUCCCUUUUUUUAACUUUUACCUAAAUAUGUAUAUUCUGCAACUCCCCAUCCACUCGCAUCCAAACAUGCUUCUGCAGAACAUCUCGAUCCAUAUUCUUGUCUUUUAUUUUAAAAAAAGUUGCCCAAGUGCUGGAAAGAAGAAGAAAAAAAAAACAUUUUCACUGAACUUCAUAUAACCCUCCUCUAACUUCUGCAAAGCUUUGUCCCUCAUGGGAGGAGCACAAACUAAAAUCCAGCAUUUGAGCUCACAGAGAAGCAACAAGGCUCGGAAGAGUGGAGCUUUUACUAUCAUACAGUGUAGGAAAGCCUCAAGGAACACACUCCUUUCCCAGGUAGUGAGAACUCCUCGAGCUUAUGUUUCCUUUUUUUUUUUUCUUUCUCCAACUUUUCAAGUUCCUAACACCAUUAGCCGGCUCCCUCGUGGUCUUGAAAGCGGCAGCGCCGAUUGAAUUAAGCUGUUUCCUUCUUUGAGUCAUUUUGACAAGCUUUCUUACACAGUCACUCACUGCUGUAACUACACACACCGACAGGCUCUGCGUGCUCGCGCACACGCAGCACACAUCCAGGCGUGCACACGUGUGCAAAUACAAACCGAAUCUCCCGAACUAUCUAUAGAAAUCUGCUGACUAGAGCAGCUCAAUGGGAUACAGAGGCAAAGACAUUCUGAGAAGCCGCUCCGUAAUGCCAUUUACACCAGUGUUUUAAUCAGUUUAACUGGCCGGUUGAGAUUCACUUGGCUCAAAAGGCUCCUUCUAGUUUUUAAAAAUAGGACAAGUGGUCUCCGGAAUCAACCGGGGAGGCGUUUAAUCUCGUUGAAUGGAGCCAAAGCCAGAUGUUUAGCUCUACACAGUAUAGAAUACAAGAUUAAACCGGCCUGAUAUAGCCCUUCCACCGCCCGUUUAUUUUUAUCCUCUAUUAAGGCAGCGAUAUCCUUAAAGGCUGCCAAAAUUAUCCUGUAAAAAUGCUGACAGGGAAAUAUGAAAGGUUCCAGGCGGUUCUAGUAAGCAAUCUGCGCGCAUGGUGGAGCAAUGUGACUGCUGUGCUUGCUAUACCAACAGGGGUGACCCCGGUUGGACGGAGAGGUGAGACUAAAUGAAAGUCAUCCCUGGAUCUUAGCGGAGCCAAGUCUUGAAUACCAAGCCGUCUUUUAAAAAAAAAAGAGAUUUAAUGCCAACGGAGGCUGCUUUACAUAAAUGCUCGUUUCUUUUUGUGCUAUGUUCAUCAACAAUGUGUAAAAGUCCUGCGGUUUAAAAAGACACCAGAGAUUUUUGUUUUUUUUCCCUCCCUCAAUUUUACUAUAAGGCCAAUGCACGAUGCUUUCAAGUGUAAGUCGUUCAGCAGCUGUUUAAAUUAUGCAUUGAACUAAUUUGAUCAUUUUAUCAGCAGCUGAAAUCAAUGCUCAGAGGAUUUUUGUUUCACAGGAUACACCACUGACUCUUAAGUGUUUUUGACAAUCCUCCCGUCUUUUGGAGGUGAUUCAUACUGAAGCGCUGUGGGAGCGAGACGAGCAAAGAGGAUAAUUUCCUUAUCAAAACACGCGAUAAGUCGUUUGAGACUGAAAGUUUUGUUCUUAAGUUAACUGCUCCUCAGAGCUGAGCUGCUAACCGACGAGGUACGAGUGCUCCGUGACACAAAUUCAAUGAGCAUACGAUCUUGUCCUCUUUUCUUCUUCUUCUUCUUCUUCUCUGAGACGUUUUUGGUAUCGCUGACUGCAGAAGUUCUCCCCGCUGUUCCUCCACAGUAACCGGACCUACUGGCAGAGAUGCCAGCGCGUUGUCCCCCUGUGCGGCUUUUAACCGCCAGCUAGCCGUCGCCUGUUUUUUGAGCCAAAAACAUGCUAAAAGAAAUCUCAAUAUGAUGGAUAACAAAGUCUCACCAUGUUUCGUAGACUUGUUCUCCAGCAGACACUCAAAGCCGCCGUGUAAAGUUACACGCUUCUCUCGGCGCCAGCUGUUUCACCUGCAGCGGCCGAACGCAGCAGGCCUGCUUCGUGUGCACGAGCGUCGUAACGCUGCAAAAAGCUGACGCCACAUGGGCCGUUUUUUUUUUUUUUUUUGCCAGCUGCCUUAUUGGAAUGAACUUGAGAGGAAUGUAUUGAUCCUGUUUCUGGAUGGCAAUGACACAAGCCGGCUCUGCUUUUAGAGGUGACUCCAUCCAGACUCCAUCCCACCCACCACCCCAUUGUGUUAUGCAGGUGACGUAGGGCGAGUCGCCGAGGAUUCGGCUGGUGUCAAGGAGCCGUUUAAAAUUAGAGCACGCUGGCGCAAUUGAUUUUGUUUAUAUCUAAUGUGAUUAAACGCGGCGGAGACCAUUUGCUGUUGCUGGACUCACAAUCGCGGCUUUCGUUUUGCAGCGCGGCUGCGACGCAGGUUAGAAAGAUGUCCUCCAGAUAAUGUAUGCCAUUUGGCGAUUGCAUUUAACCAAAGUGUCUCGUCGUGAUUGAGGACAUUGUGAUAAUGAAUGGAGCAGUGAGAACAAGUGUGGUAUUGUUGAUGCCACGAUUCAAGACGGCAUGAAUGG